rnacentral:rRNA from 1 species
GACGAACGCUGGCGGCGUGCUUAACACAUGCAAGUCGAACGAGUGGCGAACGGGUGAGUAAUACGAGGGUAACCUGCCCUCUCUUUGGGAUAAGCUUUGGAAACGGGGUCUAAUACCGAACAAUGGGGGAUGGGCUCGCGGCCUAUCAGCGUGUUGGUGGGGUGAUUGCCUACCAAGGCGGUGACGGGUAGCCGGCGUGAGAGGGUAACCGGCGACAGUGGGACUGAGAUACGGCCCAGGCUACUACGGAGGGCAGCAGUGGGGGAUAUUGAACAAUGGGCGAAAGCCUGAUGCAGCGGCGGCGCGUGGGGGAUGAGGGCUUUCAAGUUGUAAACCUAGUGAGCUAUCAAAGGGUAGGUAGAGAAGAAGCGCCGGCUAACUACGUGCCAGCCGCCGCGGUAAUUC